rnacentral:tRNA from 1 species
GCCCGGCUAGCUCAAUCGGUAGAGCGUGAGACUCUUAAGGAUACUUCCCUGCGGAAUUCUAUCCCAGGAGAUUCUCCGUCAUCUCAAGGUUGUGGGUUCGACCCCCACGUCGGGCU